CGCCCAGCAACUCUAUCCCUACCUCUUCUUGAUACUGGCCGGGGUACGAGCAACCUUAGAGAAGAUCGGGUAACCAAACCCGAUGGAAACUUUGGUCGUAUGCUGACAGGGAAAG
rnacentral:ribozyme from 1 species